GCUACGGGGGGCUGCAGUGAGGAAUAUUGCACAAUGGAGGAAACUCUGAUGCAGCAACGCCGCGUGGAGGAUGACGCAUUUCGGUGUGUAAACUCCUUUUAAGAGGGAAGAUUAUGACGGUACCUCUUGAAUAAGCACCGGCUAACUCCGUGCCAGCAGCCGCGGUAAUACGGAGGGUGCAAGCGUUACUCGGAAUCACUGGGCGUAAAGGGUGCGUAGGCUGACUUUUAAGUCAGGCGUGAACUCCAAUGGCUUAACCAUUGAACUGCGCUUGAAACUGGGAGUCUAGAGUUCAGAAGGGGCAGAUGGAAUUAGUGGUGUAGGGGUAAAAUCCGUAGAUAUCACUAGGAAUAUCAAAAGCGAAGGCGAUCUGCUGGGAUGAUACUGACGCUGAGGCACGAAAGCGUGGGUAGCAAACAGGAUUAGAUACCCCGGUAGUC
rnacentral:rRNA from 1 species